rnacentral:lncRNA from 1 species
GAUAUCCACCUGCCUGUGCAGAGUCCUGGAAUUAAAGGCAUGUGCCUCCAUGCCUGAAUAUGUUUCUUAAUUAUUAGCUAUGCAUAUAUAUUUAGCAGUGUUGCAUCAGUUCAUGUGUAUAGGGGCCCAGGAAGUAGUUCAGUUCACAGAGGAUUGCCUGCUAUAAUGCACAGGGAAAGGAUUUGUUCCCCAGCAUCAUAUAAAACUGAGUAUAGUGGUACAUACAUGUAAUCAAAAUUCUCUGAUAGUGGAGCCAGAUCAAAAACUCAGGGUCAUCAUUGCUUAUUUAGCAAGUGUAAGACAAGCCUACAAUUCUUGACACAGUGCAUAUAAGGAAUAAAAAAUAUUAAAAGGUAUGGGAAUAUCAGGUUUGCAACCCCAGCACUCAGAGAACAGAAGCAGGAGUUGCUCUAAGCAUUUUAAACUAGUCUAGGCUACACUCAAAGUCGGUUCCAGGUGAGUCUGGCCUAAGGAAUGAUAUUCUGUAUUUAUAAAAAAAAAAAAAAAAAAAAAAAACCUUGAACAACAAAAAUAUAUGUGGAUAAUUUA